rnacentral:rRNA from 1 species
AUGGUGAAGUGGGCUGACAUUUGCUUGCCAAAGGACCGAGGUGGGUUGGGCAUCCCUGCAUCUCGCCGGAUGAACGUUGCACUUAUGUUGCGUUGGGUUUGGCGGAUCUUGCGGGGAGAUGGGGGUUGGCUGCAGCUGGUUGAGUCCAAGUACUUGCAGGGCCAACCCCUCAUGGCUUGCUCACACUCGGCUGGGUCCCAGUUCUGGAAAUCUAUUAUGGCCAUCAAGGAAGAGAUUAGGCUGGGUUUGCGUUUCUCGGUUUAA